UACGGGGGGAGCAAGCGUUGUUCGGAUUUACUGGGCGUAAAGGGCGCGUAGGCGGCCAGCACAAGUCAGUUGUGAAAUCUCCGAGCUUAACUCGGAAAGGUCAACUGAUACUGUGCGGCUAGAGUGCGGAAGGGGCAACUGGAAUUCUUGGUGUAGCGGCGAAAUGCGUAGAUAUCAGGAGGAACACCGGUGGCGAAGGCGGGUCUCUGGGCAGUAACUGACGCUGAGGAGCGAAAGCGUGGGGAGCGAACAGG
rnacentral:rRNA from 1 species